ACCCGGUUCUCGGGCAAAUGACUUCGUCCAACAUGCUCGUCCGCUCCCCUCGCCUUUGUGCGGGCGCGGAGCGGCAAUGUCGGCGGUCCUCGUGCUCCCUCGGACGACGGCACGGCUUUGGCCCCUCGUCUCGUCUCGAUCGGCCCUCGGGGAUUCGCCAGCGCUCGCGGACACGGCAGACAAUGUUGGCUCGGGGCUUUCGUAGCCCCCGCACCACGAUCGGUCGGCUCACUUCGCCGCCCUCGACGAGACGACCGUCGGGCCCGUCGUCCCCCCUCCACUCGCCUAACGGCGUCGGGCGGGCACAGCGGGCGCGACGUCGCGGAGGACGUGCU
rnacentral:misc_RNA from 1 species